UUACUUACCUGGACGGGGUCAAUGGUUGAUCAAGAAGAUCCAUGGCCUGGAUUAAUGGCCUCCAUUGCACUUGGGAGAAGCACUACUUCACCAUCUCCUCUUGAGGAGAAUGGACGUCAUAAUUUGUGAUAGAGGGGGUACGCGUUCGCGCGGCCCCUA